rnacentral:misc_RNA from 1 species
CGGUGGGCGAUCACGAACGUGGUGCGGCCCUUCAUCACAGUAUCGAGAGCGGCGUUGACCUUGGCUUCGGUGACCGCAUCGAGUGCGCUGGUCGCCUCAUCCAGGAUCAGGAUUGGCGGAUUUUUCAGCAGCGCACGCGCGAUCGACAGGCGCUGACGUUCGCCGCCGGAGAGCAUGCGGCCGCGUUCGCCGGCAUUGGUUUCGAAUUUCAGGUCACUGCGCUCGAUGAAGUCGAGCGCCUGUGCGCCCUCGGCAGCCGUGCGCAAUUCCUCG